AAAAAAAAAUUAUUUAAUUAAAAAUUACUCAUUUACUUGUAAGCUUAUUAGCCAAAUAUGUUUGUCUCAUCAUGUCUCUGGUAUCUAUCAUUCUAUUCCACUCUGUACUUUGGCAUCCAAAGUCAGUAAUGCUGACAAAGUAAGAAAUUAUAUGUGCAGGUUGAUGGAACACGGAAUGCUGUCUCCUGAAAGAGCAAGGAAGGCACUCGACAAAAAGCAGAGGAAGCAAAAACAACUUCGGACUGGUACUCCUAUCAAAACUUCACCGCUUCCACCUUCAAGUAAACCCACGACCUCAAAAAAACCACUGCCAGUCCCCAAAAAUUGUGACGCAAAAGCUAAGAAACGGAUAUUAGUUGACAGUGAAGAGGACGAUGAUUUUUUGCUGAGUCCCAAGAGGAGGAAAGGGUAAGCAGGGAAUCUUCUUUUUCUAUUUGUAUAACUGUAGUUCACAAGGGAUUAAUUGCAAGAUAGAUUAAAACUAUCAAAAAUAUGAUAGAUGAGAGAUUCUUUAUAUUUCCUGAUUUAUGACUACAAAUAUACACAAAGACUGAAACCUUUGUCUUUGACAAAAUAAGCUAUUUCAUGUAAUGACCCACAACUUUAAUUAUGUAGUUGAAGAAAUCUGUCAUUUCUUAAGAUUUCUCUAAUACAUUUACUAUGUCGGUUUUUAACUGAAUUUUUCUACUAUUUCAUUCAUACAAGAAAUUUUUUAUAUAGUUUUACGAUACGAUAAAAAAUCUAGAAUUCAUGAUAAUCCAAUUGGUUAGUGAACAUACUUAUAAGUUAUUUGGCUAGAAUGUGAUAGAAAACCACUUUUCCUUUAAAUGUGAUAGAAAACGUCUAGUAUUAACUGCUGCA
rnacentral:lncRNA from 1 species